AGCCCUUAGUCCCAGAAGAGAGC
rnacentral:miRNA from 1 species